rnacentral:rRNA from 1 species
AAAGAGCAAUGAGGUAUGGGAUUCAGAGAUGUGCACUGUUUUAACUUGGCCCUAGUAGCGAAACAGAGCUGGAGGCUACUAGCAGAGCCAGACUCUCUAUGUGCCAGAGUUUUAAAAGCAAAAUACUUUCCAGAUGGAGAUCUGCUAAAUUGCCCUCUCAAGAAGGGGAGUUCCUAUACCUGGCAGAGCCUAUGGACUGGUCUUCAAACUUUCGAAAAAGGCUACAUCUAG